UACAGAGGUCUCAAGCGUUGUUCGGAUUCAUUGGGCGUAAAGGGUGCGUAGGCGGUUUGUCGCGUCUGCUGUGAAAACUCGGGGCUUAACCCUGGGCCUGCAGUGGGUACGGGCAGACUAGAGUGCGGUAGGGGAGACUGGAAUUCCUGGUGUAGCGGUGAAAUGCGCAGAUAUCAGGAGGAACACCGGUGGCGAAGGCGGGUCUCUGGGCCGUAACUGACGCUGAGGAGCGAAAGCGUGGGGAGCGAACAGG
rnacentral:rRNA from 1 species